AAACUUUUAACAACGGAUCUCUUGGUUCUGGCAUCGAUGAAGAACGCAGCGAAAUGCGAUAAGUAAUGUGAAUUGCAGAAUUCAGUGAAUCAUCGAAUCUUUGAACGCACAUUGCGCCCCCUGGUAUUCCGGGGGGCAUGCCUGUUCGAGCGUCGUUU
rnacentral:rRNA from 1 species